ACCUGCCCUUGACUCUGGGAUAAGCCUGGGAAACUGGGUCUAAUACUGGAUACUACCUCUUGCCGCAUGGUGGGUGGUGGAAAGGGUUUUACUGGUUUUGGAUGGGCUCACGGCCUAUCAGCUUGUUGGUGGGGUAAUGGCUCACCAAGGCGACGACGGGUAGCCGGCCUGAGAGGGUGACCGGCCACACUGGGACUGAGACACGGCCCAGACUCCUACGGGAGGCAGCAGUGGGGAAUAUUGCACAAUGGGCGGAAGCCUGAUGCAGCGACGCCGCGUGAGGGAUGACGGCCUUCGGGUUGUAAACCUCUUUCAGUAGGGAAGAAGCGAGAGUGACGGUACCUGCAGAAGAAGCGCCGGCUAACUACGUGCCAGCAGCCGCGGUAAUACGUAGGGCGCAAGCGUUGUCCGGAAUUAUUGGGCGUAAAGAGCUCGUAGGCGGUUUGUCGCGUCUGCUGUGAAAGCCCGGGGCUCAACCCCGGGUCUGCAGUGGGUACGGGCAGACUAGAGUGCAGUAGGGGAGACUGGAAUUCCUGGUGUAGCGGUGAAAUGCGCAGAUAUCAGGAGGAACACCGAUGGCGAAGGCAGGUCUCUGGGCUGUUACUGACGCUGAGGAGCGAAAGCAUGGGGAGCGAACAGGAUUAGAUACCCUGGUAGUCCAUGCCGUAAACGUUGGGCACUAGGUGUGGGGGACAUUCCACGUUUUCCGCGCCGUAGCUAACGCAUUAAGUGCCCCGCCUGGGGAGUACGGCCGCAAGGCUAAAACUCAAAGGAAUUGACGGGGGCCCGCACAAGCGGCGGAGCAUGCGGAUUAAUUCGAUGCAACGCGAAGAACCUUACCAAGGCUUGACAUUCACCGGACCGCCCCAGAGAUGGGGUUUCCCUUCGGGGCUGGUGGACAGGUGGUGCAUGGUUGUCGUCAGCUCGUGUCGUGAGAUGUUGGGUUAAGUCCCGCAACGAGCGCAACCCUCGUUCUAUGUUGCCAGCACGUGAUGGUGGGGACUCAUAGGAGACUGCCGGGGUCAACUCGGAGGAAGGUGGGGAUGACGUCAAAUCAUCAUGCCCCUUAUGUCUUGGGCUUCACGCAUGCUACAAUGGCCGGUACAAAGGGUUGCGAUACUGUGAGGUGGAGCUAAUCCCAAAAAGCCGGUCUCAGUUCGGAUUGAGGUCUGCAACUCGACCUCAU
rnacentral:rRNA from 1 species